rnacentral:rRNA from 1 species
AUUGAACGCUGGCGGCAGGCCUAACACAUGCAAGUCGAGCGGAUGAAGGGAGCUUGCUCCUGGAUUCAGCGGCGGACGGGUGAGUAAUGCCUAGGAAUCUGCCUGGUAGUGAGGGAUAACGUCCGGAAACGGGCGCUAAUACCGCAUACGUCCUGAGGGAGAAAGUGGGGGAUCUUCGGACCUCACGCUAUCAGAUGAGCCUAGGUCGGAUUAGCUAGUUGGUGGGGUAAAGGCCUACCAAGGCGACGAUCCGUAACUGGUCUGAGAGGAUGAUCAGUCACACUGGAACUGAGACACGGUCCAGACUCCUACGGGAGGCAGCAGUGGGGAAUAUUGGACAAUGGGCGAAAGCCUGAUCCAGCCAUGCCGCGUGUGUGAAGAAGGUCUUCGGAUUGUAAAGCACUUUAAGUUGGGAGGAAGGGCAGUAAGUUAAUACCUUGCUGUUUUGACGUUACCAACAGAAUAAGCACCGGCUAACUUCGU